GACGAACCGUGCGAACGUUGUUCGGAAUCACUGGGCUUAAAGGGCGCGUAGGCGGCAGUUCAAGUCCGGGGUGAAAUCCUCCAGCUCAACUGGAGAAGUGCCUUGGAUACUGGAGUGCUCGAGGGAGGUAGGGGUCGAGGGAACUUCUGGUGGAGCGGUGAAAUGCGUUGAUAUCAGAAGGAACGCCGGUGGCGAAAGCGCUCGACUGGACCUCUUCUGACGCUGAGGCGCGAAAGCUAGGGGAGCAAACGGG
rnacentral:rRNA from 1 species